GUGUAUGAGUGGGUGUGUGAGUGUGUAUGUGAGUGUGCCCUGCGAUGGAUUGUCACCCUGUCCAGGGUGUACCCCGCCUUGUGCCCGAUGCUCCCUGGGAUAAGCUCCAGGUUCCCCAUGACACCGAAAAGGAUAGAAGAUGGAUGGAUGGAUGGAUGGAAUUAGAUUCCUGUGUUUGGCUGACAGGAGAGGAACCUAAUGUAGCCGAUUCAGCUUAAGAUUCGACGUGUGAUCUGAGAUGCUUUUCUACUCACCAGGUUGUCCCAUCCCGGCUCCAGACUCCCCCAUGACCCUGUGUAGGAUAAACAGAGCAGAAAAUGGAUGCAUGGUUGGAUGGAUGCACCUUAAGCUUCAAAAUGGCACAAAGCUGCAGCUGGGGCUCCUAAGCAAUGGAAUACAAAGCAGUGAACAAUGGAUAGACAAGACAAAACAAAAGGAGUGGGCUGAGUUUAUGUAAAUAUAAAUUACAUGCAAUCUUCAAUAUAUUUAACAUGUUUAGUGAACUCUGUGAGGUUAAAAUUCUAAGUUACAUCAAUAAAAUCAAAUAAUAUGUACAUCAUUUGACUAUAACCAGGGGCCCUGGAACUAUGAG
ensembl:lncRNA